GACGAACCGUCCGAACGUUAUUCGGAAUCACUGGGCUUAAAGAGUGCGUAGGCGGCUUGCCAGGCGGGGUGUGAAAUCCCUCGGCCCAACCGAGGAAUGGCGCUCCGAACCGGCAGGCUCGAGGAAGAUAGAGGCGAGCGGAACAGAUGGUGGAGCGGUGAAAUGCGUUGAUAUCAUCUGGAACACCUGUGGCGAAAGCGGCUCGCUGGGUCUUUUCUGACGCUGAGGCACGAAAGCCAGGGUAGCGAACGGG
rnacentral:rRNA from 1 species